rnacentral:rRNA from 1 species
GAUUCAUGAUAACUUUUCGAAUCGCACGGCCUUGCGCCGGCGAUGGUUCAUUCAAAUUUCUUCCCUAUCAACUUUCGAUGUUUGGGUAUUGGCCAAACAUGGUCGCAACGGGUAACGGAGGGUUAGGGCUCGACCCCGGAGAAGGAGCCUGAGAAACGGCUACUACAUCCAAGGAAGGCAGCAGGCGCGCAAAUUACCCAAUUCCCGAUUCGGGGAGGUAGUGACAAUAAAUACUGAUACAGGGCUCUUUUGGGUCUUGUAAUUGGAAUGAGUACAAUUUAAAUCCCUUAACGAGGAACAAUUGGAGGGCAAGUCUGGUGCCAGCAGCCGCGGUAAUUCCAGCUCCAAUAGCGUAUAUUAAAGUUGUUGUGGUUAAAAAGCUCGUAGUUGAACCUUGGGCCUGGCUGGCCGGUCCGCCUCACCGCGUGUACUGGUCCGGCCGGGCCUUUCCCUCUGUGGAACCUCAUGCCCUUCACUGGGUGUGGCGGGGAAACAGGACUUUUACUU